rnacentral:rRNA from 1 species
UACGAAGGGGGCUAGCGUUGUUCGGAAUCACUGGGCGUAAAGGGCGCGUAGGCGGCUUUGUAAGUCGGGGGUGAAAGCCUGUGGCUCAACCACAGAAUUGCCUUCGAUACUGCAUGGCUUGAGACCGGAAGAGGUAAGUGGAACUGCGAGUGUAGAGGUGAAAUUCGUAGAUAUUCGCAAGAACACCAGUGGCGAAGGCGGACUUACUGGUCCGGUUCUGGACGCUGAGGCGCGAAAGCGUGGGGAGCAACAGGAU